rnacentral:sRNA from 1 species
AAUUAAAUCCAAAAGACGUUUGCUAAAUUGCUGGUAAAAAUGGUGCAAAACGGUGGAAUGGGCAAGCGUUGCAAUACAUUUUUCUGAAUACCUAUAAGUCUAUAAUAUACUGAAAGUAUCCACAACGAUUGAUUCCGAAAAAUGAUCUGUCAAGUCAUGAAAGAAUUAAGAUAAAUUUUCAGAUAAUUCACAAGAAAUUCAGUAGCAGCUGCCACCGUUGACAAAUUUUGGUCAGUCCUCAGAUUUUGUACAGUUUCCAGAGUAAUGUUGGAGCAAACAACCGGAAAUUGAAACUUGAUUAUGUGCGCAAAGGCAGACAA